rnacentral:lncRNA from 1 species
GUCACGGUGGACAUGCUCACGCUCGAUUCCUGUGAAAUCUGGAACUUUUCCAUACCCUACAGUAUGCCCAGAAAGCACUCCACACAGAAAAGGGCUCCAGUACAUGACCACGCCCAUCAAAGAGAGCAGGUGCAAAGCUUGAAGAGGUCUCUCCCUUCAGCUCUCCACUUUGGGGGUCUGCUGUGACAGCUCCCCUCACUGGUUGCGCCCUUUCCUGGUUCUGAUGGUCACCGUGUGGAUGAGGAAACAGGGACUCAUUGAGGAUUUAUCCCCUUGGUGGAGAACAUAGAAUCCAGAAACAAGAAGUAUAUAACAAGAAGCUGUCGGACGCCAGAGUUAAGGAGCCCACGUUCACAGAACCGGAAGUGUCUAAGUCAGGGACCACAAAACUACAAACAGCAGGAUCUGCAGACUUGGAGUCCUCAAAUCUCAGCGAUGACUCAGAGAUGCCAAGAGGCCGGACACUUGGGUCCUAAGAUUGUCCGUGCAAGAGUGAGGAUCCUGGAUGUGGAAGUUCCUCAGCGUAGCAAGGGAUUCUGAAAUUUAAAGCUACAGCUCAGCUCUUCAUCUUGGGCUGCAUGUGGUGUCUGGGAAUCCUGCAGGUGGGACCAGCUGCCCAUGUCAUGGCCUACCUCUUCACCAUCAUCAACAGCCUUCAUCUUCCUGGUGCACUGCUUCCUCAGCCAGCAGGUCCAGGAGCAAUACAGGAAAUGGUUCGCAAGCGUCAGGAAAACCACAGCUGAGUCUGAGAAGUAGAUGCUCUCCAGCAGGGCCGUGUCUGAUGCCUACAAACACAGUGUGGAGAAUUAAAUUAAUAGCUAAACCGAGGACAUUGUAUCCUGGAAAGUUCUGAACUGUCAUCCUUUGGGCAAAGAUUACAGAAAAUACUUUUUAAUGUUUGUUACAAGAAACUCUUCAUGGUGCCAUUGUGGGAGAAAGUAUCAGGAAAUGUUUGACAUUCAGUUGCUGGAGAAUUGGGGUCUUCUGGGCCAUACAGCUUGCUCACCUCAUUCCCACAGAGUCAAGGAGCUAUGACCCAAUUCCCCAGCUGCUUUGGAUGAAACCCUCUGCUCCAACCUCCUCUUCUGCAAGGAAGUUCCUCAAGUUGAAGAUACAUUACACGGAUAAUGAGCCUUAGAGGACUUUCUUAAAAUAGCAUCAGAGAGGAAAAUAAUGUUCAAAUACUGCGUGUAAUGUAAACAUUUAAUCCAGUUGCCCAACUUUCCUGGUUUUAGUACUGAAAGUCCUCUGGCCCAUGAGACACUUGGGUUACAGGCCAACUAGGACAGUUUGUCUCCCUGCUGACCUGCCUCAACUUCUUCACUCUCUAUCUCUAAGGCUUACAAAUUUAUUCAUUCAAAAAUAUAUAUGUUUUUUACUCACCAUGUGCUGCACACAGAUCAAGACAGAUUCAGUUCCUCAUUUCACAGAGCUUACUGGUAAAAGAAUAUUUCCUCAGAGUAAAAUCAGAAACCUCUGAAUAGAGUCUCUACAUCCUUACAUUUUACAAGCUGAGCUGUGAGAUAAGGUGUAUAUUGCUACUGCAAAUUUUGUAAGUUAUAGCUAUACAUAUUGCUCAUAUAUGGAUAUCUAUGCAUCCUCAGCAUAUAAUCUAGAGAAAAUCUAAAUCCAGAGCAGUAACACUUACAUGAAAUUCCCUGUGGGCCCCACUGACCAAAUCUGCGUCAAUUUGAGUGUCCAGGAAAAUGACUGUAAAUGAUUAUAAAAUAUUAAAUAAAAAUACCCAUGAGUCCAUAGUGACACAUAAAAUGUCAGCUCUAAACGUAAAAGAUAUGAUAGAAUUAGAAGAUCAUGGGUUUUUCAAUAUCCAGUAAGAGGCCACUAAAAGCAUGGGGUGAAAGGCUGCUGGAGGACAAGCUGGUCCUACAGAGCCCAAAAAUCCCCUCAGAUUACUGGUUCAUCACAAGGGCCAAGGUGCACAUCUACAACAUGGAGAUCUGCCAGUCACCAUCUGAACUUAAAUGAUCAGGCUUAACAUCACCACUAUGGGAAACCUGACAUCAGAUAUCUCCUCAGAAGACAUGAAGUUACAACAUCCCAUUUGUGGUGAAUAAAGAAUUAUUGACAAAUCAGUCUGACCUAAACCUAAUCCAGCCUUCAGACCAAGGGUGGACAAACUGGAGCAUGCAGGACAAGUGCAGGCAGCCGCCUGCUCUGGUGAAUAAAGAUUUAUUGGAGCACAGCCACACCCAUUCAUGGAUGAUUGUCUAUGGCUGCUCUCACGCUACAGUGUCAGAGUUGAGUAGCUGUGACAGAGACUGUACGAACGACAAGCUGAAAAUAUAUACCACCUGGCCCUUUAUGGGCAACCUUGCUGGCACCUGUUCUUCCAGAUCUAACGUUCAGUAUACACAGAAUACAGGGGACAGAAGAACAGGUUAAAUGGCAUCAAGAGGAAACAAUCAGGCAAAUUGAGAGUGUGGGGCAUUCAACAAGCCCUGGACUCUUCUAAAGUCAAUAGCAUUUUAAAAAGUGACUAGAGGCUAUUCCAUAUCAAAAGAGGCAAAAGUGACAUCACCAUCGAGUUCAGCGUAAAUUUUAGUGGGACUCUGGUUCAGAAACACAGCUAUAAAAAUAUUUUGGAGCAAUUGGGGUAAUUUGAAUAUGGAUCAGAUAGUAAAUGUUGUUAUGAAAUUGCUGAUUUUCUUGAGUGUCACAAAGGUAAGUGGUUAUGUAGACCACAUUCUUUAAAUUCUUCAACAUUUGAUGAAGAAAUAUUGCAGAAUGGAGUGUCAUGUCUGCCUCUGACCAUCAAAUGUUUUAGCAAUAAAAUGUGUACGUGUGUAUACAAAUUAAGAAAGAUUUUUUUAAUGUGGUACUACAUUAAUAAUUGUUGACGUUAGAUGGAGGAUAUAUGAGUGGUUUAUAUCAUUCUCCCAAAUUCUCUGUAUGUUUAAAAAUUGUAAAUAGAGGGGAGGGCCCCAUGGCCGAGUGGUUAAGUUCGCGCACUCCACUGCAGGCGUCCCAGUGUUUCGUUGGUUCGAAUCUUGGGUGCGCACAUGGCACUGCUCAUCAAACCACGCUGAGGCAGCGUCCCACAUGCCAAAACUAGAAGGACCCACAAUGAAGAACAUACAACUAUGUACCGGGGGGUUUUGGGAAGAAAAGGAAAAAAAUAAAAUCUUUAAAAAAAUUGUAAAUAGAAGUUACAUAAAAGUAAGUAAACAUAUUAGUUAUUAUUUCAUUAAAACAUAUGCCCUCAUGAAUUCCUUCAUAUCCAGAAAAUACAUUUUCCUCCACUACAAAAAACUAAUUUUGUAAAUAAAUAUGUUAUAAAUAUAUGAAUUUGCAUGGCUACAUGGUGAUGAAAUUAAAUCUGCAAACUAAAAAUAAAAUAUUAGAAGAAGA